rnacentral:rRNA from 1 species
UACGGAGGGUGCAAGCGUUAAUCGGAAUUACUGGGCGUAAAGCGCACGCAGGUGGCUGAGUCAGUCGAUUGUGAAAGCCCUGGGCUUAACCUGGGAACUGCGUCUGAUACUGGGAGGCUAGAGUGCGGGAGAGGGAUGCGGAAUUCCAGGUGUAGCGGUGAAAUGCGUAGAUAUCUGGAGGAACACCGGUGGCGAAGGCGGCAUCCUGGACCGACACUGACGCUGAGGCGCGAAAGCUAGGGUAGCAAACGGG